AUGGUCCCCGACAGGAGAGGCGAGCAAAGAAAUUCAGUCAUCCGGAAAGCAGAACGCGAAAGCCAGUGUGGCCGGACCUAUUAUUUCCCUGCAAGGUGGCAAGAAUUAAUAAAAAAUGAACAAAAUAAAAAUGUUAACCAGCAGCUGGUGGACAUUAUUGAGAAAGUGAAACCUGAGAUCCGGCUGUGGAUUGAGAAAUGUAACACGGUCAAAAUAUGGGUACAGCUCCUGAUUCCCAGGAUAGAAGAUGGAAACAACUUUGGGGUGUCUAUUCAGGAGGAAACAGUUGCAGAGCUAAGAACUGUUGAGAGUGAAGCUGCGUCUUAUCUGGACCAGAUUUCUAGAUAUUAUAUUACAAGAGCCAAAUUGGUUUCUAAAAUAGCUAAAUAUCCCCAUGUGGAGGACUAUCGCCGCACCGUGACAGAGAUUGAUGAGAAAGAAUAUAUCAGCCUUCGGCUCAUCAUAUCAGAGCUGAGGAAUCAAUAUGUCACUCUACAUGACAUGAUCCUGAAAAAUAUCGAGAAGAUCAAACGGCCCCGGAGCAGCAAUGCAGAGACUCUGUACUGAGGCCAGGGCCAGGGCCAGGGGACUCUGUGAGUCUGGCUCAAGACCGACAUUGCCUUGGUUUGUUACAUGACUAUCGUGAUGGGGAAACUGGCUGGAAAUAGUAAUCACCCCUCUCUGUUUUUAGUUAGAGUCUAAUGAAACUCUCAUCUAGUUC